GACGAACGCUGGCGGCGUGCUUAACACAUGCAAGUCGAGCGAUGAAGCUCCUUCGGGAGCGGAUUAGCGGCGGACGGGUGAGUAACACGUGGGUAACCUGCCUCAUAGAGGGGGAUAGCCUUUCGAAAGGAAGAUUAAUACCGCAUAAGAUUGUAGUGCCGCAUGGCAUAGCAAUUAAAGGAGUAAUCCGCUAUGAGAUGGACCCGCGUCGCAUUAGCUAGUUGGUGAGGUAACGGCUCACCAAGGCGACGAUGCGUAGCCGACCUGAGAGGGUGAUCGGCCACAUUGGGACUGAGACACGGCCCAGACUCCUACGGGAGGCAGCAGUGGGGAAUAUUGCACAAUGGGGGAAACCCUGAUGCAGCAACGCCGCGUGAGUGAUGACGGUCUUCGGAUUGUAAAGCUCUGUUUUCAGGGACGAUAAUGACGGUACCUGAGGAGGAAGCCACGGCUAACUACGUGCCAGCAGCCGCCGUAA
rnacentral:rRNA from 1 species